AGCAGCUGAACGUUUUGCCUGUUCUUUGGAGCCACAGAACCGGACCACGCUCAAUGUCUUGCUUGGAUUUUCGAGCUGCAGACCCAAACCACGCUCGUGAGCCGGAAAGGACUGUUGGACUGGAGUUGGAGCCGUUUAAUUGCUGUUCGUUCAAAACUGGUAAUCCAUGGUGGGAGUUUCGUCUUCUCUCCACUUUCAUGUUGAUGCUGCAGUCGAAGUGAAGGAACGCGCUUUUUAAAAAGACAUUUAUGCGCCACAGAUGGCAUCUCAUGCCGUAUUCCAGCUAAAAGAUAGUUUCAGGUACUAAAAGGAGCCAUUUUCUACGGGACGACUCACGCCAGUGAUGCGUCAGUUGAAACCCAUUUUCAGGACAUUUUACAUCCACUUGGGCAGUCAGAACUUGAGAGCUGGGGUUAAACAUAAUCCAAACUCUGCAUGGAUACCAGGAAGAGUCACUUUCUACCUUGUGGAAGAAAUCAGACCUGUGUCCUACAAAAACGUCCAC